rnacentral:tRNA from 1 species
GCCUGCUAAGUUGUUAAAACCCAAGCGCUUCAUUUGCAAAUUUGGACUGAAAAUCACGGUGUCGCUGGUUCAAUUCCAGCCCUGGGCACCA